rnacentral:rRNA from 1 species
ACACGUGAGUAACCUGCCCCUGACUCUGGGAUAAGCGUUGGAAACGACGUCUAAUACUGGAUAUGAUCACUGGCCGCAUGGUCUGGUGGUGGAAAGAUUUUUUGGUUGGGGAUGGACUCGCGGCCUAUCAGCUUGUUGGUGAGGUAAUGGCUCACCAAGGCGACGACGGGUAGCCGGCCUGAGAGGGUGACCGGCCACACUGGGACUGAGACACGGCCCAGACUCCUACGGGAGGCAGCAGUGGGGAAUAUUGCACAAUGGGCGAAAGCCUGAUGCAGCAACGCCGCGUGAGGGAUGACGGCCUUCGGGUUGUAAACCUCUUUUAGUAGGGAAGAAGCGAAAGUGACGGUACCUGCAGAAAAAGCACCGGCUAACUACGUGCCAGCAGCCGCGGUAAUACGUAGGGUGCAAGCGUUGUCCGGAAUUAUUGGGCGUAAAGAGCUCGUAGGCGGUUUGUCGCGUCUGCUGUGAAAUCCCGAGGCUCAACCUCGGGCUUGCAGUGGGUACGGGCAGACUAGAGUGCGGUAGGGGAGAUUGGAAUUCCUGGUGUAGCGGUGGAAUGCGCAGAUAUCAGGAGGAACACCGAUGGCGAAGGCAGAUCUCUGGGCCGUAACUGACGCUGAGGAGCGAAAGCAUGGGGAGCGAACAGGAUUAGAUACCCUGGUAGUCCAUGCCGUAAACGUUGGGCGCUAGAUGUAGGGACCUUUCCACGGUUUCUGUGUCGUAGCUAACGCAUUAAGCGCCCCGCCUGGGGAGUACGGCCGCAAGGCUAAAACUCAAAGGAAUUGACGGGGGCCCGCACAAGCGGCGGAGCAUGCGGAUUAAUUCGAUGCAACGCGAAGAACCUUACCAAGGCUUGACAUACACCGGAAACGGCCAGAGAUGGUCGCCCCCUUGUGGUCGGUGUACAGGUGGUGCAUGGUUGUCGUCAGCUCGUGUCGUGAGAUGUUGGGUUAAGUCCCGCAACGAGCGCAACCCUCGUUCUAUGUUGCCAGCGGGUUAUGCCGGGGACUCAUAGGAGACUGCCGGGGUCAACUCGGAGGAAGGUGGGGAUGACGUCAAAUCAUCAUGCCCCUUAUGUCUUGGGCUUCACGCAUGCUACAAUGGCCGGUACAAAGGGCUGCGAUACCGUAAGGUGGAGCGAAUCCCAAAAAGCCGGUCUCAGUUCGGAUUGAGGUCUGCAACUCGACCUCAUGAAGUCGGAGUCGCUAGUAAUCGCAGAUCAGCAACGCUGCGGUGAAUACGUUCCCGGGCCUUGUACACACCGCCCGUCAAGUCAUGAAAGUCGGUAACACCCGAAGCCGGUGGCCUAACCC